UACAGGGGGUGCAAACGUUGUUCGGAAUCAUUGGGCGUAAAGGGCGCGUAGGCGGCCGAUCAAGUCGGAGGUGAAAUCCCUCGGCUCAACUGAGGAAUUGCCUUCGAUACUGUUCGGCUUGAGUCCUGGAGAGGGUAGCGGAAUUCCCGGUGUAGCGGUGAAAUGCGUAGAGACCGGGAAGAACACCAGUGGCGAAGGCGGCUACCUGGACAGGUACUGACGCUGAAGCGCGAAAGCUAGGGGAGCAAACAGG
rnacentral:rRNA from 1 species